ACGGGAGGCAGCAGUGGGGAAUAUUGCACAAUGGGGGAAACCCUGAUGCAGCAACGCCGCGUGAGUGAUGACGGUCUUCGGAUUGUAAAGCUCUGUCUUCAGGGACGAUAAUGACGGUACCUGAGGAGGAAGCCACGGCUAACUACGUGCCAGCAGCCGCGGUAAUACGUAGGUGGCAAGCAUUGUCCGGAUUUACUGGGCGUAAAGGGAGCGUAGGCGGGCUUUUAAGUGGUAUGUGAAAUACCCGGGCUUAACCUGGGUGCUGCAUUCCAAACUGGGAGUCUAGAGUGCAGGAGGGGAAAGUGGAAUUCCUAGUGUAGCGGUGAAAUGCGUAGAGAUUAGGAAGAACACCGGUGGAGAAGGCGACUUUCUGGACUGUAACUGACGCUGAGGAUCGAAAGAGUGGGGAGCGAACAGGAUUAGAUACCCGGUA
rnacentral:rRNA from 1 species